UGGGGAAUAUUGGACAAUGGGCGCAAGCCUGAUCCAGCAAUGCCGCGUGGAUGAAGAAGGUCUUCGGAUUGUAAAGUCCUUUCGGCGGGGACGCGGUACCCGCAGAAGAAGCCCCGGCUAACUUCGUGCCAGCAGCCGCGGUAAUACGAAGGGGGCUAGCGUUGCUCGGAAUGACUGGGCGUAAAGGGCGCGUAGGCGGCGGUAUCAGUCAGGCGUGAAAUUCCUGGGCUUAACCUGGGGGCUGCGCUUGAUACGGUAUUGCUUGAGUGCGGAAGAGGGUGGUGGAAUUCCCAGUGUAGAGGUGAAAUUCGUAGAUAUUGGGAAGAACACCGGUGGCGAAGGCGGCCACCUGGUCCGUGACUGACGCUCAUGCACGAAAGCGUGGGGAGCAAACAGGAUUAGAUACCCCGGUAGU
rnacentral:rRNA from 1 species